UGGCCAGGAAGGGGGAGUCCUUUGUCUCCAGGGUGUGGGAGGUGGGGCUAAGUGCCCCCUAUUUGCAUUCAAGGAGGUUGUUACCUUAACUGAACAGACUUGUUUUCCAGGAGGCUAACUGUCCUGGUGAAUCCUGGAAGGUGAGGUUCAGAACCAUCCAGCUGGACCUACAGCUUCAUGCUCCACACUCCCCAACCUGUUUCCCCCUGGGAUGGGACAGAGGAACAGAGUGCCAGUAUCAACUCUCCAGUGUUUGCUAAAGGUGGAGCAUUCUGGAGCUGUGGCCACCUCUUCUCUUUUGACCCCAAUUAUCAGCGUCCAGAAAGGUGAAGUGUGGCUCUGGGAAGCCUCAGUCCCUGGCAGGCCCUGUCACUGAACUGCAACAGGUGCGUGAAAGCAACAAAGGCACGGUGAAGAGGUGUGUAGGGUUUGCCGCAGAAGACAUGGGGAGUGGGCUGUUCCUCACUCCCCCUUGGAACAGCAAGAGCUGAGUAAGGAAAACUGGUGAUACUUAAGGUGAAGCCAUGCAGGUUGGAGCUGGAAAUCUGUAGAAGAGCCAAGUAGGGGAAAUCAGGUACUAGAAAACACUUUGUAAGUGAAAGCUCUGGAGCUCUUAGCAAAGAGGGGGCAACCGUGAGCUCCUACAGUGGCUGCAGGGUUAUGCAGGAAGGACUGGGGCGCAGGCUAGGGAGGCUGCAGGUGUGAUACUACUAGACACACUAGCCAAUGGGGAGGCUUGGGGACCCACUACAUGAGGAGAGCUCAGGUUGGGGGCUGGAGGCCUGGGAGAACAGCACGGAUGGGGAGGGUUAAGUUGGCCGGCUGGAGUCAGGUUCCCCAAAGCCUGGCUCUUUGCAGCUUCAGCUGUCACCACUACCGGCCCCAAGCUCCUGGACACUUGGAAAGUCACACAAUUAGCCAGCCUGUAGAAAAAAUACCUUUUUAUUAAUUAUUAGGAAUAAUCCAUUCACUGAAUGCGGGGUAUAUGUUGGGGAAGGUUAGGUACUGCCAGAUGGAUGAGGGGAAACGUGCAAUAGGGCAGUGAGAAGGGGGACAGCCCCCCACUUUCCACAAACUAUAAAUAGCAACGUGAACACAGAAUCACAAAUAAGAAGAGCCUUCCUCAUGUCUCCUCCUAUCCCACUCUUUCAGAACGAGUCCCACUGUGGUCCCUAGAGGUGCCAGGGCAUCUGGAAGUUCGGGGCCGGGAGCGGGGUGCAGUGCGUGGCCUCGAAGUUGUGCAGAUACUUCUGAGCCUGAAGGAAGAGGGCAGGACAGGUGGGGUGCAGAGCACCGCAGUAUACAGCACCCCCAAACACCUCCACAGCCUCUGAAACCACCUCCCACACCCUACAAGCUGCCACUUCCAAUGCUUACAUGGUAUCCCCUGUCUCCAAGCCCCCUGGCCAUCCCGGCACCCCCUUCCUGCCCGCCACCCCUCAGCUCACCAGAAACAAGGCCAGCUGUCGCCUUCCGUCUGCACUCAUGUCCUCCCCUGUGGAGAAGAGCCGCUCACACAUGAGCCAUACAUCUGGGUAUUCAUCCCCCUUCCUGGCUUCUUCCCAACACCCCCUCCUGCCACAGGACGUCCUUACCCACACUCCAGGGGAAGUCAGGCCCGUGCUCUGCCUGGUAGGAGCGGAGGACGGACAGGCACCAGUCCUCCUCCACCUCCCAACGGCUAUAAAUCGAGGCUGCUCAGGGAGAGAAAGGAGGGCUUGUCAGUGACCUGGCCCGGCCAGGCCCCCACCCAAAGGCCUCACCGCAUCCCCCUGCACCUUCCUCCAGCUGUGAGGAGGCUUCCAGCCACUGCCUCACCACUCGAAGACCCUCCUCUGCCAUUACACGGGGAUACCUACAGAGGGAGCACCAGGACGAGAGGGCACUGUAUGGAGAAGACGGAGAGAGAAUAUCAAAGUGCAUCGAAGACCACGUGCAGAGGAAAACUUCACUUCCCUGAUCUCCCCCCUCCAGGACCCUGGUCUGCUUCUUUUCAUAAUGGGCAUAAGGUAGAAGGAAAUGUGAACGUAUACAAAUAGGAUACCAUCUUCCAGACA